GUUUACAUCAGUGAAAAGCAAUGCUAGUUUUUCUCUUUCGUAUACACCUUUAUUUGUACAUUUUGAACUAGCAAUAAAAAUAUUAUUAUUAUAAAGUAUAUCAAAAUUUUUAGAAAAAUAUCUACUCAAAUCUGUGUUCAUAAGGGGGUUCGAAAUCAAAAGUAUGUACUUAUUUGAGGUAUAUAGAGUAGGGGUAAAAAAUUAAAAAAUGGUUUUAAAAUAAAGCUUAAAUGAUAAUCAUUGGAAAAAAUCAGAAAUCAAAUUCACUUAAAUUUAAAUCCUCUGAGAUAAUUGUCCGUUAAUGUUUCAGUAGUGCGUGAAUGAUUGAUCAAACGCACAGAGUACAGAUUUUAGCAUACAUCUUAAACCAUGCCCACGACCCACGAAAUCGUAAUGAUUGCCUAAACAAAAACAAUUCCAUUCAAAAACUAUUGUUCUCGAACAGUUCGACUCCAUAGACAUUAUGUCUAUGCUCGACUCAAGCAUACUUCUCGACCACGGUACAUAAUUCAUUCGUGGCUUAUUAUAACUAUUAUCUGUCUUCGUUUAUUUCAUUUAAUAUGUGUUAUGUUUUUUUUACAUUUACCGUUUUACAGAAAUGUUUUACUCGGUAUGCCCAGAGGUGCUGGGAAAUCACGUCGGAAACCAGGUGCGGAUCCAGCCUUCAUAAACGGGAGGGGCGGAUCAUAAAUAAGUAUAAAAUUUUUAGAU